UGAGUACGUGGUCGUAGACCCGAAACCAGGUGAUCUACCCAUGUCCAGGGUGAAGGUGAGGUAACACUCACUGGAGGCCCGAACCCACGCACGUUGAAAAGUGCGGGGAUGAGGUGUGGGUAGCGGAGAAAUUCCAAUCGAACUUGGAGAUAGCUGGUUCUCUCCGAAAUAGCUUUAGGGCUAGCCUCGUGUGAAGAAUACUGGAGGUAGAGCACUGUUUGGACUAGGGGCCCACCUCGGGUUACCGAAUUCAGACAAACUCCGAAUGCCAGCUAUUUAUACACGGGAGUCAGACUACGAGUGAUAAGAUCCGUGGUCAAAAGGGAAACAGCCCAGACCACCAGCUAAGGUCCCAAAGUAAUCGUUAAGUGGAAAAGGAUGUGGCGUUGCUUAGACAACCAGGAUGUUGGCUUAGAAGCAGCCAUCAUUUAAAGAGUGCGUAAUAGCUCACUGGUCGAGUGACGCUGCGCCGAAAAUGUAACGGGGCUAAACGAUUCACCGAAGCUGUGGAUUCGUGCGUUGCACGAGUGGUAGGAGAGCGUUCUAAGUGCGUCGAAGUCAGACCGGAAGGACUGGUGGAGCGCUUAGAAGUGAGAAUGCCGGUAUGAGUAGCGAAAGAUGGGUGAGAAUCCCAUCCACCGAAUGACUAAGGUUUCCUGAGGAAGGCUCGUCCGCUCAGGGUUAGUCGGGACCUAAGUCGAGGCCGAAAGGCGUAGACGAUGGACAACAGGUUGAUAUUCCUGUACCACCUCCCCGCCGUUUGAGUGAUGGGGGGACGCAGGAGGAUAGGGAAUGCACGCCGUUGGUCGAGCGUGUCCAAGCAGCAAGGCGUGGAAGUAGGCAAAUCCGCUUCCUAAUACGCUGAGCUGUGAUGGGGAGCGCGUUACGCGCGAAGUUCCUGAUUUCACACUGCCAAGAAAAGCCUCUAGCGAGGCGGGAGGUGCCCGUACCGCAAACCGACACAGGUAGUCGAGGAGAGAAUCCUAAGGUGAGCGAGAGAACUCUCGUUAAGGAACUCGGCAAAAUGACCCCGUAACUUCGGGAGAAGGGGUGCUCAUUGGGGUGCAAGCCCUGAUGAGCCGCAGUGAAUAGGCCCAGGCGACUGUUUAGCAAAAACACAGGUCUCUGCAAAACCGUAAGGUGAAGUAUAGGGGCUGACGCCUGCCCGGUGCUGGAAGGUUAAGAGGAGGAGUUAGCGCAAGCGAAGCUCCGAAUUGAAGCCCCAGUAAACGGCGGCCGUAACUAUAACGGUCCUAAGGUAGCGAAAUUCCUUGUCGGGUAAGUUCCGACCCGCACGAAAGGCGUAACGAUCUGGGCACUGUCUCAACGAGAGACUCGGUGAAAUUAUAGUACCUGUGAAGAUGCAGGUUACCCGCGACAGGACGGAAAGACCCCGUGGAGCUUUACUGUAACCUGAUAUUGAAUUUCGGUGCAACUUGUACAGGAUAGGUAGGAGCCGUAGAAGGGGGAGCGCCAGCUUCCCUGGAGGCGCCCUUGGGAUACUACCCUGGUUGUACUGAAAUUCUAACCCGCAAGCCUGAUCGGCUUGGGAGACAGUGUCAGGUGGACAGUUUGACUGGGGCGGUCGCCUCCUAAAAGGUAACGGAGGCGCCCAAAGGUUCCCUCAGAAUGGUUGGAAAUCAUUCGCAGAGUGUAAAGGCAUAAGGGAGCUUGACUGCGAGACCUACAAGUCGAGCAGGGUCGAAAGACGGGCUUAGUGAUCCGGUGGUUCCGCAUGGAAGGGCCAUCGCUCAACGGAUAAAAGCUACCCCGGGGAUAACAGGCUUAUCUCCCCCAAGAGUCCACAUCGACGGGGAGGUUUGGCACCUCGAUGUCGGCUCAUCGCAUCCUGGGGCUGUAGUCGGUCCCAAGGGUUGGGCUGUUCGCCCAUUAAAGCGGUACGCGAGCUGGGUUCAGAACGUCGUGAGACAGUUCGGUCCCUAUCCGUCGUGGGCGUAGGAAAUUUGAGAGGAGCUGUCCUUAGUACGAGAGGACCGGGAUGGACACACCGCUGGUGUACCAGUUGUCUUGCCAAAGGCACCGCUGGGUAGCUAUGUGUGGACGGGAUAAGUGCUGAAAGCAUCUAAGCAUGAAGCCCCCCUCAAGAUGAGAUUUCCCAUUGCAUAAGCAAGUAAGAUCCCUCAAAGACGAUGAGGUAGAUAGGUCCGAGGUGGAAGCACGGUGACGUGUGGAGCUGACGGAUACUAAUCGAUCGAGGACUUAACCAAU
rnacentral:rRNA from 1 species